rnacentral:rRNA from 1 species
ACUGAUCGGCCACAUGGGACUGAGACACGGCCCAAACUCCUACGGGAGGCUGCAGUAGGGAAUCUUCCACAAUGGGCGAAAGCCUGAUGGAGCAACGCCGCGUGUGUGAUGAAGGCUUUCGGGUCGUAAAGCACUGUUGUAUGGGAAGAAAAGUUAAGGUAGGGAAUGACCUUAGCCUGACGGUACCAUACCAGAAAGGGACGGCUAAAUACGUGCCAGCAGCCGCGGUAAUACGUAUGUCCCGAGCGUUAUCCGGAUUUAUUGGGCGUAAAGCGAGCGCAGACGGUUGGUUAAGUCUGAUGUGAAAGCCCGGAGCUCAACUCCGGAAAGGCAUUGGAAACUGGUUAACUUGAGUGCAGUAGAGGUAAGUGGAACUCCAUGUGUAGCGGUGGAAUGCGUAGAUAUAUGGAAGAACACCAGCGGCGAAGGCGGCUUACUGGACUGUAACUGACGUUGAGGCUCGAAAGUGUGGGUAGCAAACAGGAUUAGAUACCCUGGUAGUCCACACCGUAAACGAUGAACACUAGGUGUUAGGAGGUUUCCGCCUCUUAGUGCCGAAGCUAACGCAUUAAGUGUUCCGCCUGGGGAGUACGACCGCAAGGUUGAAACUCAAAGGAAUUGACGGGGACCCGCACAAGCGGUGGAGCAUGUGGUUUAAUUCGAAGCAACGCGAAGAACCUUACCAGGUCUUGACAUCCUUUGAAGCUUUUAGAAAUAGAAGUGUUCUCUUCGGAGACAAAGUGACAGGUGGUGCAUGGUCGUCGUCAGCUCGUGUCGUGAGAUGUUGGGUUAAGUCCCGCAACGAGCGCAACCCUUAUUGUUAGUUGCCAGCAUUCAGAUGGGCACUCUAGCGAGACUGCCGGUGACAAACCGGAGGAAGGCGGGGACGACGUCAGAUCAUCAUGCCCCUUAUGACCUGGGCUACACACGUGCUACAAUGGCGUAUACAACGAGUUGCCAACCUGCGAAGGUGAGCUAAUCUCUUAAAGUACGUCUCAGUUCGGACUGCAGUCUGCAACUCGACUGCACGAAGUCGGAAUCGCUAGUAAUCGCGGAUCAGCACGCCGCGGUGAAUACGUUCCCGGGUCUUGUACACACCGCCCGUCACACCAUGGAAGUUUGUAAUGCCCAAAGCCGGUGGCCUAACCGUAAGGAGGGAACCGUCUAAGGCAGA